rnacentral:rRNA from 1 species
AGAGUUUGAUGGUGGCUCAGAUUGAACGCUGGCGGCAGGCUUAACACAUGCAAGUCGAGCGGGGAAGAGUAGCUUGCUACUUAACCUAGCGGCGGACGGGUGAGUAAUGCUUAGGAAUCUGCCUAUUAGUGGGGGACAACAUCUCGAAAGGGAUGCUAAUACCGCAUACGUCCUACGGGAGAAAGCAGGGGACCUUCGGGCCUUGCGCUAAUAGAUGAGCCUAAGUCGGAUUAGCUAGUUGGUGGGGUAAAGGCCUACCAAGGCGACGAUCUGUAGCGGGUCUGAGAGGAUGAUCCGCCACACUGGGACUGAGACACGGCCCAGACUCCUACGGGAGGCAGCAGUGGGGAAUAUUGGACAAUGGGGGGAACCCUGAUCCAGCCAUGCCGCGUGUGUGAAGAAGGCCUUUUGGUUGUAAAGCACUUUAAGCGAGGAGGAGGCUACCGAGAUUAAUACUCUUGGAUAGUGGACGU